GUGGGCGUGCCGGAGUGGUUAUUGGGAAUGAGUAGAAAUCAUGUGGGCUCCGCCCGUGCAGGUUCAAAUCCUGUCGCUCACG
rnacentral:tRNA from 1 species